UAGGGAAGAGGCGGCAAUGGACGGAAGUCUGACCGAGCAACGCCGCGUGAGUGAAGAAGGUUUUCGGAUCGUAAAGCUCUGUUGUUAGAGAAGAACGUUGGUAGGAGUGGAAAAUCUACCAAGUGACGGUAACUAACCAGAAAGGGACGGCUAACUACGUGCCAGCAGCCGCGGUAAUACGUGGGUCCCGAGCGUUGUCCGGAUUUAUUGGGCGUAAAGCGAGCGCAGGCGGUUCUUUAAGUCUGAAGUUAAAGGCAGUGGCUUAACCAUUGUACGCUUUGGAAACUGGAGGACUUGAGUGCAGAAGGGGAGAGUGGAAUUCCAUGUGUAGCGGUGAAAUGCGUAGAUAUAUGGAGGAACACCGGUGGCGAAAGCGGCUCUCUGGUCUGUAACUGACGCUGAGGCUCGAAAGCGUGGGGAGCAAACAGG
rnacentral:rRNA from 1 species